rnacentral:rRNA from 1 species
CAGCGCCACGAGUGGGAACCACGAUUAUUGGGCCUAAAGCGUCCGUAGCUGGUUUGAUAAGUCUUUUGUGAAAUCGUUGCGCUUAACGUAACGACGUGCAAAAGAGACUGUCAGACUUGGAACCGGGAGGAGUCAGAGGUAUUCCAUGGGGAGCGGUAAAAUGCUAUAAUCCAUGGAGGACCACCUGUGGCGAAGGCGUCUGACCAGAACGGAUUCGACAGUGAGGGACGAAAGCUGAGGGAGCAAUCCGGAUUAGAGACCCGAGUAGUCC